rnacentral:lncRNA from 1 species
AAGGCAAAACAUGUGGAGGAAUUUCACUCAGUCUUGAAAAUUCUGGAGACCGUUUUGGCCAAGUGUGGUGAAGGAAAGAGCUUCUUCGGAGGGGAUGACCUUGGCUAUGUCGACAUCGUCUUGGGUUCAUUCUUGAGUUGGAUUAGAGCAGCCGAGAUAUUAACGGAGCUUAAGUUUUUAGAUGAGGAGAAGACACCACUUUUGGUGAGCUGGGCUGAACGCUUCUGUGCUCAUUCCGCCGUCAAGGAUCUGAUACCGGAGCCGGAAAAGUUGGUUGAGAUUUCCCCGUUUGUCAAGGUGUUAUGGAAGUCAAAGAUAGAAGCAACCAUAGUUACCGCCGGAGGUGUCCUGCCAGCUUAAUAAAUGCAUUAAAAUUGAAAUGUUGUUUCACUUUCUACCUUUCUAGCUAUCAGGAGUGAAAAUUGUGAAUGAGUCAAUAAAUCAAUAACUUUAUUAUCUAAUAAAUUAAUUAACUUUUGCUUAUAAAAUCGAAUUGUCCAAACUCAAGACUUAUACUCGAACUUGUUUGGUUUACUGUAUAUCGAUUACAAAACUCAUCGUGUCCCACUCCGGUAAAUACUCGCCGGGGUAAGCCACCACAUACCAUUGUCGGAGAGAUUGGAGGAUGGUCGAAACCAAAGUUAUUGCUUGGAGAAGAUGGUCAGUGGAUCAUGAACAUGUACCUUGCAACCAAUCCGAGACCGAGAGCUUUACAGAGUUUAACGGAAAAAUAAUUCCAACUUCAUGAACAGUAAUGGUGGAACCAAAGUUACUGCUAGGAUUUGAUUUUAUAAUCCUUCCGUGAUGAAUUGGAACUUCCGUGAUGGAAGAGUCAACAUGUCAAAUUAAAUUUUUCUUUAAAAAUCCAUUAUCCCUUCUGAUCCAGUGAUCCAGUGAUCCUCAUGGCCGGAGAAGAUGUAAAGGUGUUGGGGUUCUGGUCGAGUUCUUUUGUGUUGCAGACAAGAAUUGCUCUGAAAAUCAAAGAUGUUUCCUAUGAGUACGUAGAGGAAGACCUGAUGAUGAACAAGAGUGAGCUUUUACUACAGUCCAACCCCAUCUACAAGAAAGUCCCGGUGCUUCUCCACGCCGGUCGUGCCAUAUGUGAGUCUCAGAUCAUCGUCGAAUACAUUGAUACCACCUGGAAUUCCCCGCCUAUCUUGCCGCUCGACCCUUAUGACCGCUCCUUCGCAAAGUUCUGGGCCGUCUUUAUAGAUGACAAGGCAUGGCAUGCACCACUACUACUCAUCAUUCUAUGUUUGAUUUUUCCAGCUUGGUCUGAUUAACGAGUUCAUUUAUCGAAUUAUAUAUUUACAGAUACCGUCAGCUAUUCAAGGAGCGGUGAUUGGGCUGACGGAGGUGGCGAAGGCAAAGCAUGUGGAGGAAUUUCACUCAGUCUUGAAGAUUCUGGAGACCGUUUUGGCCAAGUGUGAUGAAGGAAAGAGCUUCUUCGGAGGGGAUAACCUUGGGUAUAUCGACAUCGUCUUGGGUUCAUUCUUGAGUGGGAUUAGAGCAGCUGAGAUAUUAGCCAUGCUGAAGUUUUUUGAUGAGGAGAAGACACCAC